rnacentral:lncRNA from 1 species
GAAUUUUAGGAAAAAAAAGGGUGUUCUGGAGACGCGUGUCUCUAACCUCACGCAACCAAAAAUCCGGAAAGAAAACUCGAAAAAUCAAUUUCCAACGAAUUCAGUUGAACACUAUUGAUUUUGGAAUCUAGUUUUGGCCGUGGUGAAGGUUUCAUCCUUGAAAAACUCGUAAUCCCAUUCGCUGCCCGGGAAAAAGGUUAACACAUCUUCCUUUUUUCUUUUAGUUGAUUGUUCUUCACCGUCUUCUUUAUAGACUUCUCUCGUUAUCAUAAUGGCUGAGACUGUUUAGUUGAUUGUUCUUCACCGUCUUCUUUAUAGACUUCUCUCGUUAUCAUAAUGGCUGAGACUGUUUGCUGUAGGAACUUAGGAUUUUCUUAUAUUUUUUGUCGAUUUGGUGGCUGUGUUCCUGUAGUUCCUAGGCUGCAUCUUAUUAUGUUUCGUUAUUUGUGUUGUUUGGUGGUAUGUCAGAUUUUGAAAUUAUUUAUUCUUUUUCUUGUUUGUUGCGGGAAUGAAAAUUCACUCAACAAGUUAAACUUCUGUGUGGAUUUCUUGAUUUUGUUAAUAAGUAUAUUUUGUCAAAGAGAAAAUUUGCCUUUUUGUUUCUCUGUAUUGCUUGGAAAACAGUGGCUCGGAAGUCGAUUUUCCUUUUUCCAUUGCUUUCCAUAUUGGUUAUUAGUGUUUACGGAUGUACCAAAUAAAUUUUACUUCCUUAGAUUUGCCUUGUCAUUGGUUUUGUUAUUUGAAAUAGAAUAAUGUCUCUCUAAAGUUGGCACGAUUAAUUCAUUCUCUUGCAAAUAAUUCAUUGUGCUGCAUUUGAUCCAUCUUCUACGUGCACGUUGCAAUUGCCGUUUAAAAUUCGAUAUUGUCUUGAAAUUUCUAAACUCUUUUACUCCAUACAAAUUAAUUCUAGAGUUAAUAGUGGACAUAUAUUAAUAACAAUUUUUUAAGUGUUGCUUUCUUAACUAGUUAUAUUAGUACUAUUUGAAUAAAUUCCAAUCUUUAUAUUUUCUUGAUGCACGUGACACCGACUUGAGUCUCAGCGGACUCCAUUUCCUACAUUUCUCGAUGGACUAGGCCUACAUCUUCUACAAGUUCCAAAUGCCUUCAUUUUUGAAGGAACGAGGCUGGUAUACAUUUGUAUAAGCCUGAUAUAUGAGGUUUACAGGUUAAAAGUGGCUGAUAUAAGUCAAGAGAUGACUUAUGGUAAAGCUAGCAAGAAUAAAAGGUUUUCCAUGCUGUUAUACAGCGUAUAUACAGAAAAAAUGCAGUAAAACGAGGCUGAUAUACAGUCAGUAUACAGCUGGUAUACAACUGCAGAAAUGGACCAAAAGUCCAUAAAGAAUGAGCCCAAAAGUUUUCUAGAUUUGGAAAAGGCCCAUCUUUUAAUUCUUCUUAUUCAUCUCCUUGUAAAUCCUAUUUGAUAAUAUGUUUGCCUUAAAUUAUUAAUUUGGUUAACUUUUAUAAAUCCCCUUCGAAUCAUUAUUUUUGUUUAUCUCUGUAUUUUUCCUUUGUUAUUUUAUAGCGUAAUAUUCGAAAUUAAUAAAAAUAUAUCUUUCUUUAUGUUUUUUCUUAAAAUAAUUUUUUCUAAAAAAAAUAAUCAAAUGACAUUUUAUUUUAUCAACGUGUCAAAGUAGUUCAUUUAAGUUAAAAAGAAUUCUCAUCGACCUAAAAUCAAUUUCCUUUGCAAAAAAUAAAAAUAUUUUCACUAAUUAGUCAAGGCUCAUAAUUUGUUUAAAUUGAUAUUUUUCUUUAAAGACAAAUAUUUUUUUAAUCAAAAAUGAUAUGUAAAAAUCACUUUAUUUCUCCCUUUUAUUUGAAAGAAUAAUUUAUGAAAAAAACGGGUUUAGCUCAACCUUCUUUAUAGGAAAUUUUCUCAAGUUAAAUUGGACUAAUUUUCACUUGGUUGACAAAUGUCAUUUUAAGUCUUCAAAAAAUAGUUAAAGGUAAUAUUUUUUAUAAAAUCAAGUCUUCGUAAAAAUUAGCCACGUUUAGUUAGUCAAGUUAGUUCUUUUUGGUAAAUCGUUUUAAACGGACGCUCCUAAGUGCCUUAAAAACCUUCUUAGAGUGUUAAUUGAACCCUUAUCCAGUUCUCUGGUUUUAAAGGCUUAUUUCUGUUAUUGAGCCUUUGAAACUCUUUUUAAGUUUUUUCGUGAUUUUUUCUAUAAAAAUUAAGUGGCGACUCUAUGAAUUUCUUAAAAUUAUUUUGAAUUUUUUUUGAAUCUUUCUCGUCAAAUGAAUCCGUAAAGAAUAAAACAAAGUUUAAGGAGGGUAGGGUUCAAAAGAGGGAUAAAAAUUGAAUGGCUUACGACUUGUGAUGUGUUUGCCAAAGAAAGGUCAAAAGGCUCAAAGUGGGUGACUAGGGAUAACAUUUAUGCGAGGGUAGACUUUUUAGGCUAGAGUGGACUUUCAAUAUCGCAAAGAUGGCCUAGGAUCAUCUCACCAACCAAGUACAAUCAAAAUUAGUCUUGAUAUACUAAUGGGGCAAGUUCUAGAUGGUACAAGUAUACAUGAGAUUUAAACAAAUAAGUUCACCGCACAUGGCAUACAAAUUCGCCAAGGAGGUUCAAUUGCCCCUCCCGUUAGAGACAAAAAUAGAGUACUUACCAAUUUUCACAAGCCAAAAUUUUGGAGUCAUAAAAAGAGAAAAAGUAUUGAUACAAGAUCGCUCAUGUCUGUACCCUUGAUUUUUGGAAAAAAAAUUAGACGGAGGGGGGUGUUUGCUUUCCAUUUGCACCACAUAUAAUUUGCUAAUUAUGGAACCAACAUAAGCCUUCGUCUCACAUGUUGGCUUUCAUACGGGCAAACCAUAUGGAUACUCAGACUUCGCCAUAGGUAUAAUUAGAUCCCAAAUUCAAAAUGCUACAGGUACUCAGAUUUUUCUUGCAUUUAUUACCUCGAUGCUACGGAUACUCAGACUUCCCCUACAUUCAUGGCUCGAAACUCAAUUACAAUGCUUUUCCCUUAAGAAUGUCCUCACUCAAUCUAUCAUAGGAAAAAGCUAGUCCGAUAUCACCAUAACCAAAAUAAAGAUAAAGUAAAAAUGUAAAAACAAACUAAACAACUAAUCCAUGAAACAUGGGCACCAGCAGAGUGCCCAAAAAAUGCAACCCAGAAACAAAAAAUUAAAAAUCAUCCAAAAAGUCAUCAAAACAUCCAAAAAUAUCUAAAUAAUAUAGAUCCGGGGGCAGGCACCCCCUACUGAAAAGCUAGCAGUGUCCUCACUGCAUAAGUAAUAGAGCAUAAAAUAGAGAUAAGGGUGCUCUCUAAAACUGCAUCAGGAGCUGCUUUCGCUUGCGGACUUGCAUCAUCUCAAUCAGCAUCAGCACCGGACUACUCAGUAGGGGCCUCAUCAUCGCUGUCCAUCCUGGGAGAAGGUAGUCUGUCUCAGAAUAUUAGCACUUUCCACAGGCCCUUUACCUCUUUCUACAUCUUACUGAAAAACUUAUCUUUCUUCUUCUCCCUUUUCUUUAUCUUCUCGUGGGAGUCCCGAAGCUUCCUGUGAUACUCUGCCAACGCUGAGUAUGCCCUUUUGAGCCUAGAAAUGGUGGCUUCUUGAGUCUGUUGGUCCUUUGGAUACUUCUCUUAAUUUGAUCGGGACACAAAUGAGUAGCGGGUGGUGGAGGGCUCUCUUUGCCUCUGGGGCAAUACUGACACAAGCCCCUUGAUGACCCUAAUAUCAACACCAAUAUCUUCAAGAGGCCCAACAGUGAAUGGCCUACAUGACUCUGACUUCUCACAUGUCGACUUUCUCAAGUCGAUCUUUCUAUUUUUCCUUUUUCUCGGUGCACCUUAACCCCAAAUUUUGAGAGGAUAAAUAGGGGUUCAGGGCGCACCCAAGUAUCUCCUGGGUAUUCCGCAACCCCAACUCUCCUGAAUAGCUCAGUGAUCAAAGAAUGGAAUAAGAGAUACAUACCACCAGGGUUUCUGAAGAACUGCAUAUCAGAUAUUACCAACAGAUAUCAUCUGACGACCAACAUUUAAAGAAAAGUUGUCGAGUAUGCAGGGAACCAUAUGGGAACGCAAAUCUGUAGUUGCAGUCAAAUGAAUGCAAGGAGAGAUCCGGCUGCAAAUGAUAUUCAGCUAUAUUCGGGCCUCAGUAGUGAAGUCAUUCAUCGAGAUGCCCCUUUUGGUUGCCACCUACAAGACCUCCUUGACUGGGCACAACCUCUCUACCAUCUAGCUUCCCGGCUCACACCCCUUAGCUUCAAUGUCAACUAUGUCUACAUUUGGGAGCCCAUAUAGAUCAUUGAUUUGUUCCACCUCAAAUUACACAUUCCUCCCCAAAUCCUGAUAACUGGGUUUUUAAAAGAUACUAUACUAAGAUUAGCGUAGAACUCUCGCACCCAUUGCUGAUGUGCCCGGCAAGGAUCCAGAGCAAAACAUCUCCACCUAUUAUCCACGAGCCUAUCAUGCAAUGCUGAAAGAUUUUUCGACACCUUCUCCAAACAUAUACUCCUUUCGGGAAGCAACUUUGUCCUUAGAAACUCAUCGUAGUAUUGGUUGUGGCACUUGGGAGUCAUGAAUCAAAUUUGGUCAUAAUUCUCAAUAAUGUAAACCUAAAAAACAUGAGUACAACAAAAAUAUUUAUCAUCAAUAUUUUCAUGCUUAAACUAGACUAUUUUGUCUUAUAAAACUCAUGGGAUGGGUACUUGGUGGUGUUUGACCAAAAAAUCAAAGUGCAGAAAUUUUGGCCUAGGCUGAGAUUCAGCCUUAGUUAUGGCGAUCACAAGCCACUGAGUUGUGAUUAUGGUGCCGCGAUCGUGACUCGAUAACUGUGAUCACUGGUUCCGCAAUCAUGAUCCCGUGACCGCAAUUAAGGUAACUAAGGCUAGAUUGGGCUAGAUUUUCAAAAGCUUCACAAUCCAAUUUUAAGGCCAAAAUAUGUUUGAAAACAACAGUUAAUCAAUAAGCAUAUCAAACAAAACUUCUAAGUUCUUAAUCAUGCCCUCACGAUGUGAAAAUAAUGAGUUAUAGACUCUUUUGGGCAUUUGAUCGGGCACUUGGUGUGCUCUCUAUACUUUACUCAAAUUCACACAUUUUUUGGAUACUCAAGAUUUUCCCACAUGUAUGCACACUAUUUUUAACAGCUUCACCACACAAGUAAGAUUUAACAAGAAUUUAGCAAGGAAAAACAUAGUUUUAGGCCCUACCUAGUUCAUGCACUCUAAGGCCUACUCACAAUAAUUAAAAACAUGAAUUUAAAGCACUUACCGGAAGAGUGAUGCAAGAUGGAUGCAAAGAUGCUUUUGAAAUGCUCAAAAUAUAGACAGGAACAUGUGUAAUUUGAGAGAAAAGUUGGAGGGGGAAUGUGAGGUAAAUAGGAGACCGGUGGUCUUUUAAACCAUGUCUGGCUGCGAUCGCGGUCAAGGUUCGCGAUCGUUGACAAGCGGAUGAUCGUGAUUGCGACAAAGACCCAACAAUCGUGUUAACAGAGGGCAUUUCUACACCUCUAUUUUCCCCUGUUCAGUCCAACAUGCAAAAAUCCCACUCUUACCCUCUUUCAAACUUAUUCAAUGCACUCUAAAGUGCCAUAAAUGCAUGGAUUAAUCAAUGACAAAAUUAAAAUCUACACUACCAAGUUAAAAAGAAAGGAUACGGGCCACUUUAUGGCGUGAUGGGUUGAUUCCCAUCGAGUGCCAAAUUUUAAUGUCGUGGCACGACACACCUUUUCAAGUAUCAUUUAUGUCUCUACUUAGAAGAUUUAAACUGACGUCCCAUCUUGCAACCAUUAUGUUUUGAGCGAAAGUCGGACAAAAGAUUCAAAUAUUCCAAAAUGAGACGAAAUAAAGUUGAGGAGGUAUUGAUGACUUCUCUAUCUCGCCACUUUGAAGACUUGAAUCGUUUACCCAACUUUACAUCAAACUCUCGAGUAGGCUCAUUGGGUAUUAGUAAGAACAUCAAAAGACUACUAGUUGAAUAUUAGAUUUUCAGCUUUCUUGUCUUCAAAUGAGGGACGUCAUCUCUCCCUUUUAAGAUGACAAACUCCAAAAUAUAAGAAUUUUGUACCCCAUUUCUCAAAUUCGCCAUUUGCUUGGGUGUCUUAACUUUCAUCACAUCCAGCAAGCAUAAUGUUUAAAAAUGAUUAGAAUGAGGUCGUUGUCCCAAUUCUGGAUUCGCAUUCAUCUUGAAAUUCUCAUCCGAAAAUGAACUAAGCCCUCACAAUGGAUUUGCUUAGCUUCUUCUUUGGACUCUAGUACCAAUUCCUUUACUGUGGCAUCCUUUAUUAGUUUUUGUUUGUUUGGUUGGCAAAUCACCAAGGAUUCUUCACUAUCAAGCUCAUAAUCAAGCUCAUGGCUUGAUAUCUUUUCUUUAUCAUCCUUAUUUUGAAGAUUGGGCAUAUACAUGACACUUGAAAGAUUGGUCUCCUCACCCACUUCUUAUUUUUCACUGUCCAUUCCAAAUGCCAUCAUGGGUUGAUUCUAGUGAUGCUGUCCUCCUUCAUUGUAGUCACUCGAUCCAUGAGAUUUAGAAGCAUUGCUGCAACAGGAUUGUAUCCGACAUGUUGUUCUUCCUUUAUCACAUCAUGAGACCUAUCAAAAUCAUAAGAACUAACAUUUUUGUUAGCAUAACUAGGGGAGGGGACAUUUGGACAAUCACUCCAAUGUCCAUCUUGACCACUACAGAAAGAACAAUUUUACUCCUUAUAGUAUUGAGAUGGUGCACACACAUUUUUUCGGGGAGCAUAUUUACAAUCUUGACAAAAGUGGGGUCCACCACAAUAUGGACAUGAAUCAUCAAGAUAAAAUUUGCAACCACCAAACUCAUAUUCAUUUCAAGAUGUCAUAGUAAUAAGCAAGUGAAAAUAAAAAUCUACCUAACACAAGAAACAAAAGAAAAUCACAAACAAAUAUUUACUAGUUUGAAUUCAAGAAACUAAGGUAAAAUUCAAACUAACUCAAUACGUCAAAUUAUUCUCCGACAAUGACGUCAUUUUUGAUAACACUGAACUCACACGUCAAUUUAAGUGCAAAGAGAUCAUUGUCAGUAUAUUACUCAACUUUGAGUCGGGAUCAAAUCCACGAGGAAUAAUGUAACUGAUGAUUGAGUAAGUUCAAAGUGAAAGUUAUUUGCUAAAUUCAAACCUAGGAUACAAGUAGUUUGGGAGAUGUUAAGAGAAUUCAAAAAGAUAACAAAUUGGAUUUCUAACUGACUAAUUUGAGGUUGAGAAUAAUUAGAGCGUAAUCAAUUAGGAACAGAUCUUGGGGCUAUGGUUUACUAGGGACAACUAGUGUGCGGGUACAUGAAAAUCAACUCCAAAUCUUAGCUAAAGUAUGCGUGGGUAGGCUCAGUUAGGGAUUUUGAUACCAUCCAUUCAAUAAAGUACCAAACUAUCAGCUAAGGAUUCUUUCGAAUACCUCGUGGGUGUGGUCAACCAAUCGUUACCAAACCUCAAUUGGGCAUUCCUAUUUCUAAGAAAAUGCCCAAAAUAUAACAAUUCCACAUUUUAUCCUUAUUUCUAAGACAAUAAAAAAAGAGUAACUAUUAUCUAUCUUAUUAUUCACAAAUCCUCAUGUUACCCACAUCCCUCUUUCAAGGAUGGCGUGGUGUUUAGAGAUAUUAAGACUUUCACCAACAAAUUCCAUUUUGCGCCCUAUUCAAUCAAGAAUUUAAGCUAACAAUCACAACCCACACACAUUUGCGCCCUAUUCAAACAUAACCCCAAGAGGGAGAACUAACUACUCAUAAGGAUAAUAAAUAAAGACAUACCAAAAUCUCCAUCAAAUAGAUUCAUGAAAGAUAAAGAAGAUGCGAAUUCAAACUUUAAGUUUCAAUAAAUCUUAAGUGGAAAAUGCUAAUCCUUCACUUAGAAGUUACUCUAAUGUAUUCUUCACCCUAUACUGGAAGAGAUUUCCAAAAAUUGGGAAUUUUUCUCUAUGAGAGAGGGUUUGGUCUCUUAAGGAAAUUGGGGACGGCUGUUGUGAAAUUACAAAACUGCCGCGUUGCCACGAUUGCUGACAUUUGUCCGUAAUCGUGGAUGCUGCAUCCGCGGUUAAAAACUCGCGAUCGCGCUUCUUUAACCUAGCAUUACUGGCUGCGAUCAUGGUCUGAGGACGACGAUCGCGGUAAUUGAGGCUGGUUUCUGCUUCAAGUCUUCUAGCUGUACUUCUUUUCUUCUUUUUGAUCCUUUUUAGCUUUAAUCCACAUCUUUCCAUCUCAUUUUUUGAUCCUUUUUAGCUUUAAUCCAUAUCUUUCCAUCUCAUAACUUGUCUGUCUGCAAAAUGUAAAAAUUAGUGCAUUUAAUCGCAAAUAUGUCUCAUUUAUACAUUCAAUUCAUAGUAGCGGGCAAGAAUGUUGAGUGCAAAUGAGUGGUAAAUUUGCCAUUCAUCAUCCACCAUUUUCACCAUCUUUGAAGCUUGAUAACUCGAAUUUGAGCAUUUUCAAAGAAAUUUUUGAGAUUUUCUUCAUGGGUAUGUUUCUAAACAUUGUAUUAUUAUUUUUCACGGAUUUCACUAUCAAUUUACCUUUAAAUCUUCAAUUCUAAAUUUUAUUUUGCAAUUUUCAUGAUAAAGUUUAAAAAUAAUAUUUUUUCAAUUUGGACCUCAUUUUUAAUUUAUUUUUACAUGAAUUUUCAGUUUUAGGUUCCUAAUGUAAUAAAAAUGUGUUUGCAAAAAUAAACUUUCAGUUUAAUCCUUUUUUAUUCGGGAUUAAUUUUUGCAUUUUUUGUAAAUUCGAAAUAAAUAUAGUUGGUGUGAGUAUCAUUGAGCCCUUUUUUGACUUAUAAAUGUCAUAUUUGAUUGGAUUGGACGCAUUUGGUGUUGAUUCAAGAGAGUUGGGAUUUCAAUUGAGGUUUUAGACUACAUUUGAAUUUGCGGAUCUUAAUUUAAGGCAUGCUAAGAUGUUCAUUGACUUUUUUCCGAAGUGUUUAUGUAUUGUAUGUUUGUUUAAUUUUUUUUUUUUGUGUAUCGCUUAGGAUUGUGGGUCCCACUUAGGUGAAAUGACGAGCAUCCCCUUGGAUACCGGAGUCUUUGAUGGAUUGUCGUUGGAUUAUUACCUUGAUUACUUAGUACUACUAUUAUUAAAUAUUCUUAGAUUGAAAUGUAGAUAGAUAACCUAGUGAUUCUCAAAUAAUGAAGAAUGGAUUGUCAUUUUAGAGCUUGAAUCUUGUUAGCGAACUUUAUUUGGAUGAUAGUGGGUUAGUGCCUUGUUAGGGGAUAAUUAUGUUAUUAUCAUCAUUAUUUUGAUGGAAUGAUUGAAUAUUUAGAGAAUACUUAGAGUAUGAAUAUACUUGUAAUAGCUGAUGAGAGUUAAUGAAUGGGCCAAGUUAGGUUUGGGUAGUCCGCAAUUUAUUAUAAUUGAGAUUGUUAUUUAUUUUGUGAUGCUCGUGUCGGGCUUAUGUGAACUUCAUUAUGGACUUGAGUAGUUAUUUGUGAUUGUAUAUCCGGGUAGGGGCUUAUAUGCAUAUUGCUUUUAAUUUGAGAGGAUAUACUAUUGUGAUGCUCGAGUGGGGGCUUGACUUGAUGUUGUUAGUCAUGUUUUGUUCAUUAAAUGACUAAUUUAUUAUUGCAUCUUUCGAGUGGAGGCUUGAUUUGACAUUGUAGUCCUUAUAUGAGUAUUUAAUUGCAUAUUCAUUACAGUGAUGUCCGACUGAGGAGUUGGGAGUGAUAAUAUUAAUGACCACAUGACUAUUUAUUUUGGUGGUGCCAAGUGGAGGAACGGAAUGAAGAAUAGAAGGAAUAUGGAUCAUAUCUUUAAUCAUUAGAUAUUAGUCAUUUGAGGAUGAUUUGUGUUUAGGAUAGAGAUAUAUCUAAACACUCCACGUGAUUAAUGAAACGAGAAUAUUGCUUAAUGCAUCUAUAUUAAAGACUCACUUCCUCGCUCAAUAAUGUAAUUUUGAAACUAAUUUGGAUAGAUAACUUAGAGGAUGAUCAUUCUCAAGUAAUAAUAUCAACCCCAUAAAUCAGUAACCACGAUAAACACCAACAUCAACUAAGUAGAAUUAGCUGUUAAUGGUUCAAUUAGCUGUUAUAGAGAGAUAAUUUUACAAAGAGUGUACUGCUGUAAUAAACAUCAUUACUGUUAUAGGUAGAAUUUCGUUAUAGAGAAGUAAAAUAUAACAAAAAAAUUAAUUUCGGAGAAAAUCAAAUUGCUAUAAUAAAAUAUUGUUAUAACGAGGUGACAUUAUAGAAUGUCUGAUUGUAUAUAGUGUAUUUAGUAUAGGAGAUUUUUUUUUGAAUGAAUCUUUUCUUGUUUUAAAAUAGGAGCAAGAGAAUUUGGUAUAGUAGCACUUUAACUGCUUAUUUUUUUUCUUUGUAUAUGUUUUAUUGGUGUAGUUUGUUCGGAGAAAUAGAAGUGAAAGAAGAGCGAGAAGUAAGAAAAAUAACAAAUAAAUAGUUUGAGAGAGUGAAAGCACUCAUGAGUUGUACUUUGUCAAAGAAUAAUUAAUAAUUAUAUUUGAAUUGGAGAGUCGUAACUCUCAAUAACAUAUUAUUGAGUAAAAGGUUACUCACAGUUAUAUUUUAUCUCUGUCCCUCUUGACUUUUAUAGUUAGAAUAUUUUUAAAAAAUACUGUAUUACCUAAACGUUACUCACAUAUACGUUUAUUUCAAACCUAACUCAAUCUCUCAUUUCUCAAUUUAGUUACCUGAUUUUACUUCAUUAACUUGUGAAUAAGUUUGUGCUUCAUGCGGUAAUGAAAACCUCAUUAAAUUUAGAGUAAUGUUUUUUAUAAGAUUAGAUUAAGAGAUUUUUAAAAUUUUAAAUAUUCAAAAAAGUUUGUUCUUCUUCAAAUCCAAAUGGAUUAUAGUAAAUACUUAAUGCAAUGCAUUUCUAUACUUAAUGCAAUGCAUUUCUCUAACUUUGAAUUUUUUAGUAAAUAAAGUAACAUGAAGCUAAUAAAGAAGAACAAAUUGGUGCAAAAAUUAAUUUUCUAUAAAUAGUAUAUAAGGAAGAAAUAGACUUGAAACAUAUAGUUUGCAACAACUGCUUUUCGUUAUUGUUGGGUUUGAUUUUUGUACUCUUAUUCGUUUUCGCCUUAAGGGUGAAUAAAGCAUAAAACAGGUCCAUCUACUUCAAUCUACGGAAUCAAAUAACAAUACUUUUUCGUGCUUUAUUUCCCUCUCUAUUUUAGAGUACUUUUUAUAACUUUAUUAUUGGGACUGUUGUACAUAAUUUUCAAUAAUAUUGAAAUAAAGUAAUUAGAGAAAUAUGCAAAUGCAUAAGAAUUCAACCCAACCAAAAAUGUGAAUAAACCAUUAAUGUUUACCUUGGAAGUGGCGAUGAAAUAAAUAAAUUCCUCGUAUUUUCUUAUAGUUCUUACAUGAAUAUUGAAAUUCAAAUCUGCAAUAAAAGAUCAAUCUUAAUAGGCAUGUACCAAUAUGAGGAUAAUCCCUCAUUCUUCGUAAUUUGUGUUGAAAUUAUCAACAAAUAAUUUUACUAUUGAUUAUAUAAUAAAAAUAUUCUUGAUAACAAUUUAUAUACGUAGUUAGGAGAGACACAAAGGAAAAAAAAUAAAUACUAAACCACUAAUCCAGUUCUUUUUUAGAACAAAAGUGCAAAUUAUUUUUUUGCUUAGCCUAAAUAUAUUUAGUAAGCAAACACGAUUGUGUUUCCAAGAAAUGAUGACUUGACAACGAGAGCUAAUGCUCGACGCCCCACCAUCCUUAUAAUAGUCAACAAUAUCCAAGUCAUGACACACUAUAGCCAUCGAUUGUCCAUAUUCAUCAUUUUUCAAUUAGUCAACACUUUAUCAACUAACCAUCAUGUAAUACUAAUCCUCAUGUAUCAAUAAAUCAUCCUUUAUCAACUAAACAUAAAUUAUUAACUAAUCUUCAUAUAGCGUCUAAUCAUCACUUAUCAACUAGUCAUUAUUUACCAACAAACCAACAUUGGUCAACUAGCCAAUAUAUAUCAACUAAUCAUUAUAUACUAGAGUCUAUUCAUACUACAUUAUAACUAAUUCCUCAUUUUCAACUUGGCUACAUUGUCAAUCUGAUCACACCCCAAAGUCAUCAUAUCAUAAUAAGUAUAUCAUCAUAUUAUACUACUAAUAGCCGAACUCAAACCGGUAUGGAUAUUAAAUAAUAUCAUUAUAAAUAUCAUCCUAAUCAUCUUCCNNNNNNNNNNNNNNNNNNAGCAUAUAUAUAUAUAUAUAUAUAUAUAUAUAUAUCGUUAUAAUCAUCCCCCGACCUUGUCGGACAUAUAUAUUGUAGGACCCCACAAAUUUUCCUAGUCAUUAAAACUCUUUAAAGCAUGUCAAGGGAAGCUUCACACUUAGAAAAUUUGGCUAAGUAUUGGAACUUCUUCAUUUCAUAAGCCUUCAAACUUUGAUGAUUUAUUUCAUGACCUUCCCGACCUUUGGUAGUUGAUAUUUUAGCUAAUUCUUGUCCAGAAUGUCAAUAGAGUUUUUCAGACAAGUUUCAAAUUUUUCGAACCUCGUUUAGACCACGUUUGGGGUCUCAAAAUAGUAGACCAACGCGAUCUUGGCGCGCCGCGUCGCCUAUCGCGUUGGUUAACAUUGUUGCAGGCUGCCAGAGUCAAAAGUACUGAGGCUCUACGCGAUUAUGACGCAACGCGUCGGGUAUCGCGCCGAUGCCAUCGACACGCCGCAUCGACCAGCGCAUCGGCACCCAAUUUUUCAGUCAUUAAAAUAGCCGCGACCCCAGGAUUAUUUCAGUUUUUUUUCCCACUCUUAUAUAACCCUAAAACGCGUGUUUCAGCCAUAUUUUACCCAAAUCGUAGUGGUUUCUCUCAAUUUCUCUCAAGAACAAGUUUAGGGUUUCCAAUUGACGAUCCAAAUUCAAGAAAAUUUCACCGUCAAUCUUCGUAAAAUCAAGAACCAAGGUAUGUUAGAUGUUGAUUCUUGAAUUCCUUCCACCCAAGAAGUUCAAGAAUCAUUUUCUAAAAUUCAAAGAUUAUAUAUUUAUGAGUUUUCAUGAUUAAUGUGAAUUGAAAUUGAAGUUCAUGUUGUUAUUGAGUUUUUAAUUCAUGUUUUGUUUAUAAAGUUUCAAGCCUUGAUCCUAACAUGUGAUAUUUAUGUGAUGUUCAUGAUAAACCCCUUCAAGUUGCAUGUUUAUUGAUGUAUCCAUGAUAAUUAGGUGUAGGAAUUGUUGUAUAACCAAAGCAUGCUCCCCAUAUGUUUGAUAAAAUGCUUAUGUGAAGGAAAUAGAGUCAUUAUAGCAUGUUGACAAGAAAUCCCCAAUUGUGUAUAAGUUAAUGCAUGCCAAGUGUUUGUUGAAAGGCCUUAGUGAUGAAUUAUGAUAUGUUGUAUGCAUUCCUACUCAUGUGUAUUCCUUAUUGAAUGAAUUAUUAGAUAAUAGUAUGCACUCCCUAUACAUUUACAUGUUUAAGACUUCUAAGUGCUUGAAGAGAUGCCUCAUUAAUUGUGUUGUGAAUGAUAGCCUAUUGCCAUGUUAUGUAUGAGUUGUCGUGUCUUGUAUUAUUUAUGUUAUCGAGUCCUGGGGGUAUUUAUACCUGACAAAUUAGAGCUUGUCUAGAGCCAGUGUCAGUUUCAUGAUAAUCUCAGUCAUGCUAUGACUAGUAGUACUCUUAGUCAGUUACAGAACUCAGUAGAACUCAGACAGUGAUAGAACUUAGGAAAUCUCAGUAAUCUCAGUAUCAGUAGCAUUCCAAUUUUAGUUCAGUAAUCGAUUCAGAACUCAGUAAUAUUCCGUCAGUCAACGGAACUCAGUAAAUUUAGAUUAGCUCAGUCAAACAAGUACGAUCAGUAACAGUUUAGUCAAGCCUAGUAUGAAUUAGUAAUUAGUUCAGUGUUUUUCAGUUGGGAGUAAGAUUCACAUCGAGUGAACCUAGGGAUGAGGGCUCUCCCGCUAGAUAGGACUGAGAUCCCUAGAAGCAAUCCCUAAGUUCCAGAACAGCGUAGCCAGGUAGGUAUGAGAUAUCACCCGUUAGAUAGGACUGACAUACUCCGGGAUCACCCGCUAGUACAAGAUUGGUCUCAGGGGUCACCCGCUAGAUUAGGACUGACCCCAUAGCAGUUGUCUUUACCCGUGGAACAGUAUUGACACCCUUCCAGCUGGGGUUACAAGUUGGACCCCACUAGUUUAGAUUUGGGGCAUGUCGGUUAGAUGACUACCUCUCACAGUCUCAGCUUCAGAAUUAGUCUAAAUAAAAGAACUCAGCUCAAUAGCACAGAUUCAGGACUGUUAGAUAUAGUCACUCAUUAGUAUUAUCAAUGGAUUUAGAGAUCACCCGCUAGAUAGGACUGAUCUCAGAUUUAGUUAAGUAGUAUUAGUACCAACAGAUUCAGAGAUCAUCUGUUAGAUAGGACUGAUCUCAAAUACAGUUAAUUAGUAUCAAGUACCAUUAGAUUCAGAGAUCACCCGCUAGAUAUGACUGAUCUCAGAUUCAGUUAAUCAUCUUCAUUAUCAGUAUAUUCAGAGAUCACCCGUUAGAAAUGAAUGAUCUCAACCUCAGUCAAUCAAAUAUCAGUAUCAGUAGACUCAGUUAUCAGAAAUCUAGUUAUUAGAAUUCGGUAUUCAGUGUUCCUACGAUUUCAGUUAUAGUUGUGCAUUCAUGCAUGUAUCCUUAUUCAGUAUACUCAGAUGAUUUAGUCAGUAUUGUUCAUGCAUAUGAACCCCUACAUUUAGCCUACCUCAUCUAGCAUACCAGUACAUUCCACCGUACUGACGUAUACUUUUUUGUGCUAUGGUGUUUUAUACUAUAGGUUCAGAAUCAUAAGAUCCAGAGCACCCUUAGCAGUUCAGAUUCAGUCAGCAGCAGUAGACGUAGCCGUGAGUCCUCAUCAUUCAAGGAUAAUCUUUAUUUUAUUAUUUCACUAGAUUCAGUAUUUUAGUAGACAGAGUUAGUUGGGGACCUAUCCCAUCAACUCCACAGUUCAGACAAUUUAGAGGCUUUUCAGACAUAUGUAUCAGUAUUUAGUUUUCAGUUGUAUUUAAGAUAUUUAAGCCUCAUGGCAAGUUUUUUGCCAGUUUUCUGCAUUUUUAUAGUGUAUUAUGCAGUGCUCAGUUAUAGAUACUAGAAAAGGGUUAACUUGUGGUCCUUCAGGAUUAUGAGUACCGUGUAGCGUUUGGGGUACCAGACUUAUGGCGUUACAAACUUGGUAUCAGAGCCUAAGGUUCAACAGUGUCCUAGGAAGUCUGAAAUCCGUAUCUAGUAGUCUUGUGCAUGAGUGUGUUGCGCGCCACAUUUAUGCACAGGAGGCUAUAAAAUGUCUUAGGAACAAUUUCUCUUCUUUCAAUAUUCAUGUCAUGCGAGUGAGCAUGAGCUCAAGUUAAGACUCUCAGUGUAAUCCUGAUACGAUUCAAAUGGCCUCCUUAGCUUUCAAUGAGGUCAUUCGAAGUCAGUACGUGGGGCAUCAAGCUUUGGUCACAUUAAGGAAACAGGAUCCUACAUGGAGGGGCCGAUUUGAGUACACCAAAGAGCAACCCACAUGUGAAAGAUUGCUUGGAGCAUUGAAGAUUGAGGACUCACAGUUUUGGGCCUUCAUUAAGGAUAUUUUGAUUACUUAGCCUUGUCCAAGUAACACUCUAUGACCACCCCUUUUCAUUAAGGGUAUUGUGAUCUUUUUGUUAUGUAAUAAGUUAGACUAUAAAUAGGUUCUAUUAGUUCAUUUGGUAGUUAAUUUAUGAAAGAUAAAAGAUUGAAACAAUUGAAUUCCUUUCUCUUGAGAGUAGACUACCUUAGUAUAGUCUUAGUCAGGACUUGGAAAAGUCAUCCUUAGUAUAGGGCUUGGAAAAGCCAAUAUUGUUCUUUGCUUGAAAACGGUGGAUCUUGAGGUGAGUCGAUUACCUUGACGGUCACCGUAAGAGUGUGGUUCUGAUUAUUACAUUCAUUAGGGGUUAAUGUUGAAAUAUACUUGGUUCUUAAUCUUGUAAUAAUCUUGGUCUCACUAUCUAUCCUUUCAUUAUUUUGUAAAUCUGUGUGUUUUUGUGUUUGUCAUCUUGUAUCCCUUUGUGUUACUUGUUCUUCUCACAUUUUGUGGACUGUUUUGGCAUCUUGGUGGACUGAUUUGUAUCAUUUGGUAUCAAAGCAUGGAUUGAUCUUGUUCCCACAAGAUCAAUCUUGGGCUCGUAAACUUGAAAAUAAAAAAAAGUGUUAGAAAACUGAAAAAUCAAAAAGAGGUAAAUCUGUCCAUUUUUUGUGUUUGUUUGUGGCUGAAAUUGUGUUCUUGUUGUUGUUUUGGCCGAGAUUUGUGUCUAAAUCUAGGUGUGUUUUGAUUGUCUUAGUUGUUUCUAAGUGUUAGUUUUGUCUUCACUAACACCGUUGAGUCUAGAUCCAAGUUGAGCUUGAACAUGGUUGUUGGUAUUGUUGUUACGGUUUCAAGAACUUGAACAUUGUUGGUUUUGUUGUGUGGACCAAAACUUGAAGGUGGUUUGAGCUCGUGUUGUUGGUAUUUUGUUAUGGUUUUUAAGCUUGAAAAAGGUGUUGUUGAUUGUUGGAGGUUCAACGUGAGGCUAGGUUUUCAAAAAAGGUUUCAAGAACUUGAACAUUGUUGGUUUUGUUGUGUGGACCAAAACUUGAAGGUGGUUUGAGCUCGUGUUGUUGGUAUUUUGUUAUGGUUUUUAAGCUUGAAAAAGGUGUUGUUGAUUGUUGGAGGUUCAACGUGAGGCUAGGUUUUCGAACUUCUAUUGAAAGUUCUUGUUGUUCUAGACUCUCUUCAUGUCUAGUUGCAAAAAAGCUCUUCAAUAGUGUUGUUUGAUCCAAAAGCCAAGUGGAAAGAAGUGAGGCCUUUGUUAGUCUUUAAAACAAAUCCCAAAUACCUACCAAAAGCGAAGGAGGACAAAAAGAUCUACAAAAACUUUAUACUAAACGAGGGAAAAAAAUACCCUUUUAGGUGUCCAACAGAGGAAAGGGUCACCAACCCUUCAAAAAGGUGUCUUGCCCAAAAGGUGUAAGACAAGUCAAACCUUUUUGAAUGAGAAAAAGGGCUCCAAUCUUGAUAUUUUUCUUCCCCAAGGACGAAAUACACUUCUUCAAGAAUUGAAAAUUGAACCAAAAUUUCAAAGUUGAAAAAAUAAGAACCUUUAAAAAAUCGCACCAAUCCUAGACCGCCACAUCACUAAUUUUUGUACAAUACCGAAACUUAGGGCUUAAAAUCUUGGAUUCUUAGUUUCUUAUUGUUGAUUCUUAGUUUCAUUUUUUUUAUUCUUAUACUAAUUGGCAACUAGUAAUACCUACUAAGUUGUAAAUUAGUUUUUGAAUACGUUUCUUUCGUGUCUUCGUUAUUUGUGUGCUUUUCUCGUUUGUAACUCGUAGUAACUUCUUUAUUUCACGUUUAUAAGUGAAUUUUGUUUUGUGUCUUGAGUCAAUCAAAACAAGAAUCCAUUCCGACCUUCAAGUAGGAUUGACAUCUUAUUGACUACCGGAGUAUAAGCAACUUUCAAUAUUUGCCGCUCCAAUUGUGAGAAUCACAAAGGCGAGUGUAUCGAGUGUUGGUAAGGAGGUUUUUGUUUUCUUUUGUUUGUUCUUGUCUUUUUUGUUUUGUUUAUUAGGUACCAUGGCUGCGUAUAAUUUCAAGGCCACGUGUGAUCGCAUCCAUGACGAUCUUGAAGAUAUGCAACAACACAUUGAAAUUAUACGUCAAUUAUUACCCAAACUCUUUCCUCAAAAUCCAAUUGGCCAAACAACUGCGAUAAGAGCUUUCUGAAAGAAGUUGCUGCCCAAUCUUGUAAAGACGAACAUACUCAUGAACGUCAAGGUAAAAUAGCUAACCCUUACACUUUUGUGCAUGUGAAUGAUAAUUGUGUGGCUAGUAGCCCAUUGAGUGUGAGUUGUAGCUUGCCUAUAUGUGAUUCUAUUGUUUCUUUGACACUUGAUGAUGAUAUACUUGUUGUGAGUGUGGAUACACUAGUUGAUCCUAUUGAUGACCGAAUUGACUCUUCUUGUAAGAUCGAUUUAUGUCCACCUAGUGUUGAAAUCAUUGUGUUGAAUGAAAGUAUAUCGUCUUGUGAAAUUUAUGUUGAUCAACUUUUGUAUGAAAAUUGUCCACCACUUGAGGAUGUGUGUGAUGUGAUUAAUGAAUCUCAAGUGUUUGAUGAUGUUGAAAAUAUUAAUCAAAGGAAUAGGAGUAAACCCGAGAGCUAUUCUUGGGAUAAUCUUGCAUUUGAAAUCUCUUUGAAACUUGAUAUUGAUCUUUUAGAGAGUGAUGAACGUGUUUGUUCCGAAUAUGCCCGUGAUAUAGAUCAUGCUCUCUUAAGGUAUAAUGUCUUGUUUGAAGAUGAUAUAACCACUCCUAAUGAACCUAGUGGUGCAAAUGAUGGUAUAGCUUGCCUUAGAAGCUAUAGUCGAUAUGCUAAUCCACUAUGGUGUGAAAACAUUCCUCCUAAAGAUGAAAAUCUCUUCUUGAAAGAUGAGAGUACUCUUAAGGGUAAGGGAUGUGUGGAUUUGAAAACUACUUCUCCUUCUACUUUGUGUGACUUUAUUGUUGAGAGUACUCAUGGUGAUGAUUGUGAAACUAGUAGUGAGUACACACAUGAGGGCACCUUAGUAGAAGUCGACUUGAGUGAUACCUUUCUCUACUUUCAAUUUGCUCUGGAUAAUAUGUAUGUUAUUGUAGAGAGUAUGCCGUUUAUUUUGGGUGGAGACCACGGGAAAGGGGAGUGUUGUCUAGACCUGUAUCUAUGGCCACUCUUCCUGUUUGACCCCGGUGCCAAAUAUAGAAUUGGUGAUGAUGGUGCACCCAACUUGUUGCUUGGUUUACAUGACAAGCAAAGUAUUAUUUUUGGUGAAUUCUAUAGCCAAAUCCUUUGUGCAUUUUUCAUUAAUUAUGUAAUAUUUAGUUCAAAGAUCCUUGGUUAUAUUCUAAAUAUGUGAAACCUUGGCAUGUUGAGGUGAUUUGUCGUGUUUACCCUAACCCUCAUGCCAUGAGGAGUUUGUAUUUGUGUGUCCUUUCUUUGGUUUUGCAAGGUUUGGAUUCGAGGUCGAAUCAUUUUCAAGAAGGGGAGGAUGAUAUGAUUCAAUUGGCCUCCUUAGCUUUCAAUGACAUCAUUCGAAGUCAGUACGUGGGGUAUCAAACUUUGGUCACAUUAAGGAAACGGGAUCCUACAUGGAGGGGCCGAUUUGACUACACCAAGAGCAAUCCCACAUGUGAAAGAUUGCUUGGAGUAUUGAAGAUUAAGGACUCACGGUUUUGGGCCUUCAUUAAGGACAUUUUGGUUACUUAGCCUUGUCCAAGUGACACUCCAUGACCACCCCUUUUCAUUAAGGGUAUUGUGGUCAUUUUGUUAUGUAAUAAGUUAGACUAUAAAUAGGUUCUAUUAGUUCAUUUGCUAGUUAGUUUAUGAAAGAUGAAAGAUUGAAACACUUGAAAUCCUCUCUCUUGAGUGUAGACCACCUUAGUAUAGUCUUAGUUAGGACUUGGAAAAGGCAUCCUUAGUAUAGGGCUUGAAAAAGCCAAUAUUGUUCUCUGCUUGGAAACAGUGGAUCUUAAGGUGAGUCGAUUACCUUGGCGGUGACUGUAAGAGUGUGGUUUUGAUUAUUACAUUCAUUAGGGGUUAAUGUUGAAAUAUACUUGGUUUUUAAUCUUGUAAUAAUCUUGGUCUCACUAUCUAUCCUUUCAUUAUUUUGCAAAUUCAUGUGUUUUUGUGUUUGUCAUCUUGUUUCCUUUUGUGUUGCUUGUUUUUCUCACAUUUGUGGAUUGUUUGGGCAUCUUGGUGGACUGAUUUGUAUCAAAUCCAUUCUUUCUUUCAUUUAUAGAAUAUGCCUCCUCGCAGAGAUAAUGCCCAUAGAAAUGAUAACCAGCUACCUCAGCCCGUAGAUUCUUCGAAUGAGAAUGUGUCAUAUGCAGAAUUGCGGGCAGCCUUUCAGGCGCUAGCCCAAGCUAUGACAACUAGUUUUCAGGGUAACCGUCCGGCUGCAGCCUAACCUUAGCAAGAUGGCGGUUCAAUCGCAUCCAAAAUCAGAGAUUUCAUGAAUAUAAACCCGUCAGAAUUCUUUGGGUCAGUAGCAGGUGAGGACCCAUAACUUUAUCUUGGGAAGGUGAAGAAGAUCACCCAGAUUAUGCAUGUGUCUGAGGAGGAGAGUGUAGAAUUAGCAUCCUAUAGGUUGAAGGAUGUUGCUCAUGAUUGGGUAGUGAUAUGGAAGAAGCGUAGAGGGAAGGAUGCAACUCCCAUGACUUGGCAGGUAUUUCAGGAUGCAUUUUUAGAUACGUUUUUCCCACUCGAGAUCAGAGAAGUUAAGGUAGAAGAGUUCAUGAACCUAAGGCAAGGAUCCAUGACAGUGAAGGAGUAUUGCCUUAAGUUCAACCUGUUAGCUAAGUAUGCUCCUGAUUUGAUGGCUGACCCUAGAUCUAGCAUGAGUAAGUUUGUGAAUGGUGUGUCCGGGUUGGUAUUGAAGGAGUGUAGGACUGCUAUGCUCAAUAGAGAUAUGGAUCUUGCUAGGCUAAUGAUGCACGCUCAACAGAUUGAGGCCGAUAAGAUGAAGGAAAAAGAGACAGUGAAUAAGAAAGCCAAAAUAGGUAGUUAUAGAUUCUCUUAGGUAGGGUCACAGGGUGGUAACCGUUUUCAGCAUAGUCAGAAGUUUUUAGUCCCAGCUCUAUCCUCCGCUAGUGUACCAACACCAAACUUCAGGGAUGUCAGUUAUGAUGGGGCGCUACGCUCCAAAGCCCAGAUUAUCAUGAGAAGUGAGCGUACCUAUCCACUUUGUAAAGAAUGUGAAAAAAAUCACCUAGGUAUAUGUAGAGCAGGCAGCGAGGUAUGUUUUGGAUGUGGUAAGUUAGGCCAUAGGAUACGGGAGUGUAGAGUGCUAGAACAGAGGGGAUAAGAUUUGCGUCAGCAGGGCACCAAUAGUGGUCAGCGUCAGAAUAGAUUUUAUGCACUCCAAACCCAUCAUGAUUCAAAAAGUUUCCUUAAUAUAUAUUCGGGUAUGUUAUAAGUCCUUCAUCUUCAUUAUAUGCUUUGUUAGAUCUCUUACUCCUAUUUAAGCUUAAGUUUUCAGCAUGAGUUAGUCAGUAAGGCCAAUAAUUCAGUUUAGCAGUCAGACAGUUAAAUUCAUAUAGUUUGUUUUUCCUAUCUUUCCAUCUAGAUAUAUUAUCAGAAUGUCUAAGGAGUGUAGCUAUUCCAAGAUAGAGCAUCCAAGUAGUUGCGAGUUCAUCUUAGUUCAUGAGUCGUACAUUAGUUUCAGAUCCCAGAUGUUUAGUCAUGAUCCAGCUCGUAGGUGCCUUGUGCAUCGCCACAGUUUUCCUCAAGGGUCUCAAUAAAGUAAGCCUUCUUAGAGGGACAUAGUGUCCCAAGGGGGAGAUACCCUAUGGUUUCAUGACCUUAAACCCAUUCGGUUUCAUGCUUAGAUUUUCCUUACAAACUUAAUAUCAGUUAUCAUUGCAUACUCAAUCAUGCAUUCAAGAGUCAGUUCAGUCAAAUAUUCGUGCAUUAGAUAUGCAUGUUCAAUAGAAGAAGCUCAAGCUUAUCAAUAAUUUCAGUCAUGCUUUCAUGAGAAUCAACUCAGUCAGAUAUCUAUGCAUUAGAUAUGCAUGUUCAGUAUGAGAUUUCAGAAUAUCAGUAGUUCCAGUCUUAUAGUUAUGUUUCAGAUGUUCACGUCCCUUAUGUAAGUUCAGUCUAUCAGUAAUAUCAGCCUAGUCAGUCCCAUUCGAGGACGAAUGUUUCCAAGGGAGAAAUAUUGUAAGACCCCGUAAAUUCUCCUAGUCGUUAAAACUCUUUAAAGUAUGUCAAGGGAAGCUUCACACUUAAAAAAUUUGGCUAAGUUUUGGAACUUUUUCAUUUCAUAAGACUUCAAACUUUGAUGAUUUAUUUCAUGACCUUCCCGACCUUCGAUAGUUGAUAUUUUAGCUAAUUCUUGAUCCAGAAUAUCAAUAGGGGUUCCCGAACAAGUUUUGAAUUUUUUGAACCUCGUUUAGACCACAUUUGGGGUCUCAAAAUAGUAGAUCAACGUGAUCAUGGCCCGCCACCAUCGCCUAUCACAUUGGUUAACAAUGUUGUAGGCUGCCAGAAUAAAAAAUAUUGAGGCCCGAUGCGAUCAUGACGCAAUGCAUUGGCUAUCGCAUCGACCAACGCGUCGGCACCCAGUUUUCCAGUCAUUAAUAUAGCCGCUACCCCAGGGUUAUUUCAGUUUUUUCCCCACUCUUAUAUAACCCUAAAACACAUGAUUCAGCCAUAUUUCACCUGAACUGUAGUGGUUUCUCUCAAUUUCUCUCAAGAAGAAGUUUAGGGUUUCCAAUUGACAAUCCAAAUUCAAGAAAAUUCCACCGUCAAUCUUUGUAAAAUCAAUAACUAAGGUAUGUUAGAUGUUGAUUCUUGGGUUCCUUCCACCCAAGAAGUUCAAGAAUCCUGUUCUAAAAUUCAAAGAUUAUAUAUUUAUGAGUUUUCAUGAUUCAUGUGAAUUGAAAUUGAAGUUCAUGUUGUUAUUGAGUUUUUAAUUCAUGUUUUGUUUACAAAGUUCCAAGCUUUGAUCCUAGCAUGUGAUAUUUAUGUGAUGUUCAUGAUAAACCCUUUCAAGUUGCAUGUUGAUUGAUGUAUCCAUGAUAAUUAGGUGUAGAAAUUGUUGUAUAACCAAAGCAUGCUCCCCAUAUGUUUGAUAAAAUGCUUAUGUGAAGGAAAUAGAAUCAUUAUAGCAUGUUGACAAGAAAUCCCCAAUUGUGUAUAAGUUAAUGCAUGCCAAGUGUUUGUUGAAAAACCUUAGUGAAUGAAUUAUGAUAUGUUGCAUGCAUUCCUACUCAUGUGCAUUCCUUAUUGAAUGAAUUAUUAGAUAAUAGUAUGCACUCCCUAUACAUUUACAUGUUUAAGACUUCCAAUUGCUUGAAGAGAUGCCUCAUUGAUUGUGUUGUGAAUGAUAGCCUAUUGCCAUUUUAUGUACGAGUUGUCCUGUCUUGUAUUAUUUAUGUUAUCGAGUCCUGGGGGUAUUUAUACCCGACAAAUUAGAGCUUGUCUAGAGCCAGUGUCAUUUUCAUAAUAAUCUCAGUCAUGCCAUGAUUAGUAGUACUCUCAGUCAGUUGCAAAACUUAGUAGAACUCAGACAGUUACAGAACUUAUAAAAUUUCAGUAAUCUUAGUAUCAGUAGCAUUCCAGCUUCAGUUCAGUAAUAGAUUCAGAACUCAAUAAUAUUCCAUCAGUCAACGGAACUCAGUGAAUUUAGUUUAGCUCAGUCAAACAAGUACGAUCAGUAACAUUUCAGUCAAGCCUAGUAUGAAUUAGUAAUUAGUUCAGUGUCUUUCAGUUGGGAGUAGGAUUUAGCACCGAGCGAACCUAGGGAUGGGGGCUCACCCGCUAGAUACGACUAAGAUUCUUAGAAGCAAUACCUAUGUUCUAGAACUACGUAGCCAGCGUAGGUAUGAGAUGUCACCCAUUAGAUAGGAUUGACAUACUCCGGGGUCACCCGCUAGUACAUGAUUGGUCUAAGGGGUCACCCGCUAGAUUAAGAAUGACCCCAUAACAGUUGUCUUUAUCUGUGGCAUGGUGCUGACACCCUUCCAGCUGGGGUUACAGGUUGGACCCCACUAGUUCAGAUUCGGGGCAUGUCUCUUAGAUAACUACCUCCCAUAGUCCCAUCUUUAGAAUCAGUCUCAGUAAAAGAACUCAGCUCAGUAGCAUAGAUUCAGGACUGUUAGAUACAGUCACCCAUUGGUAUUAUCAAUAGAUUUAGAGAUCACCCGCUAAAUAGGACUGAUCUCAGAUUUAGUCAAGCAAUAUCAAUAUCAGUACCAACAGAUUCAGAGAUCACCCGUUAGAUAGGACUGAUCUCAAAUACAGUCAAUCAGUAUGAAGUACCAUUAGAUUCAGAGAUCACCCGCUAGAUAGGACUGAUCUCAGAUUUAGUUAAUCAUCUUCAUUAUUAGUAUAUUUAGAGAUUACCCGCUAGAAACGACUGAUCUCAGCCUCAGUCAAUCAGAUAUCAGUAGACUCAGUUAUCAGAAUUCCAGUUAUUAGAAUUUGGUAUUCAGUGUUCCUAUGAUUUCAAUUAUAGUUGUGCAUUCAUGUAUGUAUCCUCAUUCAAUAUACUCAGAUGAUUUUGUCUGUAUUGGUCAUGCAUAUGAACCCUUACAUUUAGCCUUACCUAAUCUAGCAUACCAGUACAUUCUACCUACUGAAGCAUACUUUUCUGCGCUAUGGUGUUUGAUACCAUAGGUUCAGAAGUACGAGAUCCAGAGCACCCUUAGCAGUUCAGAUUCAGUCAGCAGCAGUAGACAUAGCAGUGAGUCCUUAUCAUUCGAGGAUAAUCUUUAUUUUACUAUUGCACUAGAUUCAGUAUUUUAGUAGACGGAGUUAGUUGGGGACUUGUCCCAUCAACUCCACAGUUCAGACAGUUUAGAGGAUUUUCAGACGGAUGAAUUAGUAUGUAGUUUUCAAUUGCAUUUCAGAUAUUUGAACCUCAUGGCAAUGUUUCUGCCAGUUUUCUGCAUUUUUAUAGUGUAUUAUGCAGUGCUCAGUUAUGGAUACUAGAAAAGGGUUAGCUUGUGGUCCUUCGAGAUUAUGAGCACCGUGUAGCAUCCGGGGUACCAGACUUGGGGCGUUAUAUAUAUAUAUCAUCAUAAUCAUCCUUCAGCCUUAUCGGGUAUAAAUAAUCAAUAUCAUACUCAAUAUAUCCAAUAGCAAAUAAUUAGAGUAUUUAAUAGCAUAACCAUUAGCGUAGUAUAUUAACAUGAUCAAUAAUCAUAAUAGAAAUCAUGAGCUUUAGCAUAAUCAAUAGUAUGAUUGACAAUAUAGUAAGUAAGCACAACCUUUAGCAUAAUUAAUAGCAUAAUCACCAAUAUAGUCAAUAAAUACGAUAACUAACAUAAUCAAUAUGUAUUAUAAAGGAUAGACAAUAACUUUACAAUAGCCUAAUUAAUGGAUUAUCAUUAACAUAAAAGAUAACUUAUCAAUAGCUUGAUCAAUAAUUAAUCCAUGACAUAAUCUAUAGCUUUUUCAUAGAAUAAUAAUUAACUUAAUUUGUGGCUUAGUCAAUAUCAUACUCAAGGGCUCAUUCAGUAAUAUAUUCGGUAGCCCAAUCAAUAGCCAAACCAAUAGCAUACUCAGUAGCUCAUUACUAACAUAAACUUAAUCAAUAACUCAUUUAUAGCAUACUCAUUAAGCAUAUGUCAGCCAUCAUAGCCAACAAAUACCAAGGCAUCUAAAUAUCACUAAAAUAACCAUCUACCUAGAUGUACAUAAGCGUAUCAAAGGGUCUUUAGUAACUAUCACAAGUCUUGGACUAAGGUGGGUCGAAUAUCCCACUUAUAAACCCUUAAAAUCAUUUACCAAGCAAUGUCUAUCCCAGGCUAGGCUAAGGUAUUUAAAUCCUUUAUUAGAUAUUGAACAAGCCACAACUAGUUCUAGGAUAUCAACUCCUCCUAAUAUAGAGCAACUAAGUCCAUUCUACCUAAAUAUUGGCAAUUUAGGUAAGAUUUAUCCUAAAUUUAAGUACCAAGGAAGUCUUCUCAUUAGUUUAGUAACUGACCUAAGCAUAACCCUACAAGGUCAACUUCACCUAAGGUAAUUGGUUAACAAGGUUAAUCAUGCCCAAAAUGAUAUCCAAAAUAACCUAAAUGAUCCAACUAAUUCCAAGAAUUUCAAUUUAUUACACCAGCACUUAAAAUCCAUCCCAAAUUUGACACAAUAUCAUAAACAUACUAUGAAUUAGCCAAUCUAAAAAGGGGUAAAACCAAGCCUACCUGGAUGCCAAAGAAAGCUCAAAAGAUCUGCUAAAUUACCAUUUUUUUCCUUUCGAGAAACUUUCACAAAAUGCCAAGAUAUCAAAAUUAUAUUCUACUCAUCAAUACGAGAAUUAUGAUUCCCAUAUUUCACUAUUGUGCUUUGGAUCCAAAAAUCAUAUCAAAAUCUCAUGUGGGUCCUAUUCAGAAAAAAUCACGUUUUCAAAAUCAAUCCAGCGUUCCCUCAUGCUCAAGAAAUUAUUGCCUUAAAAAAUGAGUAAAAUUCAAGCUAAUUUGGGGUUAAAAUUAAGCCUCUAAGGUUUUGGAAUUUUUGAAGAAAAAAUAAAAAUUUCUACCAUGUAAAGGGUGAAAUCUUACCACAAAUUAGAAGAUAAUCGCAUAAACAUGUGUUAGCUCACCCACAAGCUUCAAUUUUAAGCUACCUCACUAUUUAGGGUUUUAGUUCUUAAGAAAAUGGGUGAAUAAUGAGAAAUUUUUUGCUAAAAUACUUACCAGGUUCUCAGGUCUCGCUUUCCCGACUCAAUGUUUGUGAUCGCCAUACAUAGCAACAAGGUCAUAAGACACUAUCGUAACAUCCCCUCCUAGCGAUCGCGGUCUAGUAGACUGGUCAAGGAUUCGCGUUCACAACUAAAAGUGUCACGAUAGCGGUGCUUACUACCCUGCUCAAGUAUCCAUGAUCGAGGACAAAGCCAUCACGAUCACGAUGUACCGAAAACAUCAGAUAUAGCUGAGACUUGGAAAAUUUUCAAGUCUUCUCUAGGCCCUUGGGAUUCAUCCGAAAUCCUGUAUACAUAAACGAAUUAUAUAACCAUAUCAAAUUUGAUGUUUCAGACUUAAUGGCGCUGUCAAAAUUUCCAUUCGAUGUCAUUUUAUCAAAAUAUUGGUCCGACACCCAAUUUUUAAUUUCUUAACUUUUUGAUCAAUAGGUCGAAAUGAGUUCGGGUGCCUUGAGACCCAAACCAAUAGUCCACCUAGCAUAAAAUCGAUAUUCUAAAGCUGUUGUAAUAGUUAGAAUUUGCAUUCAAGAUCGUUUAGUUGAAGUCUUUGUUGGUGGUCAUUUGGAACCAAUAAAGACUUCAAAAUAGAGAAUUGACUUUAAAACCAAAUGAACUAUCAAUUCCAGCAAAUCAUAAAUGACUUAGGAAAGCUAUAAAAAAGAUAUAAUGGAAAAAAUAAGCAACUAUAUGGAAGAUGAAUCAAAGAGUCAUUACACAAUCUCAGGACCAGAUAUAUUUGACCCUUUGAGAGUCUUCACAUAGCUGGUGAGGUAGCUUAUUAGUUAGCCUUACCUCCAGAUUUUACUGCUAUCUAUCCGGUUUUCUAUGUUUCUAUGUUGUAUUGAUAUAUUCUUAACCCAUCUCUUGUGCUUAGAUGGGACUUAGUUCAGUU